UCCGAGUUGACCCCGGCAGUCUCCUAUGAGUCCCCGGCAUUAUCCGCUGGCAACAUAGGACGAGGGUUGCGCUCGUUGCGGGACUUAACCCAACAUCUCACGACACGAGCUGACGACAACCAUGCACCACCUGUAUACCGCCCUUGCGGACCCCAUGUCUCCAUGAGUUUUCGGUGUAUGUCAAGCCUUGGUAAGGUUCUUCGCGUUGCGUCGAAUUAAGCCACAUGCUCCGCCGCUUGUGCGGGCCCCCGUCAAUUCCUUUGAGUUUUAGCCUUGCGGCCGUACUCCCCAGGCGGGGCGCUUAAUGCGUUAGCUGCGGCACGGAACCCGUGGAAUGGAUCCCACACCUAGCGCCCAACGUUUACGGUGUGGACUAC
rnacentral:misc_RNA from 1 species